GGGUAUGUAGGCCCCAUAACCAUCUGAGUAUUAGGAAACUUUAGAAUUCAUUACAUAUUCAUUUCAGAACAUGUGCUAGCAAAGAAUAGACUAGAUUAGAGGCAAAAAGCGUGAAAAUUUAAGAAUGCAAUCUUGGGAUUUCAUUUAAGAAAUUUUUCUAUCAUUGAAGGGGGAAGAACCUGGGCAGCAACGUAAUAAUCCCUCUAUGCAGCAACACGAAAAAGAUUCGUGAGGUCAAAGUAUAAUUCUUGUUGUUUCGUCUUAUCGUGUUGUUAAAUUUGAGAUUUUUUCAAAGUGAAGUAAGAUUGAAGAAGAGUAUUUUUUUUGGCAUAUAAGGUUUGGAAUAUUAAUUGUGGAAAUUCAUGGGGACUGAGUUCUUGAAUGACGUGAGGUACAUAUGCUCACGUUGGUAACCCGCCAGCUUAGGAGUCCUAUUCAGCUAUCUUGGAGAGCUCCCUUGUUCCGGAGCCUAGAUUUUGGUACAGAAUCUCUUGUGGUGUAUAUGUAUUUUAUCCAGGGGUACGGCGGGGCCUUGUCCCGUCAUAUGAUACUGUUGUUACUCUUAGAGGUUGUUGUGAUACGUCUAAACAAUGCGACAGUUUUGAGACGACGUCUUGCCUUGGUAUUGAUAAGUCUGUAUUAUGCUAGUUAUGGAUGAUUAUAGUUAACAAGUACAUACGAGUGUCCAGCUCGGGCACUAGUCACGGCCUACGGGGUUGGGUCGUGACAUAUGUUAUCACUAUGGUACAUUCUUUCUUUUGUGGGCAUGAACUACCUAGGUAUGUUACUUGCACUAACCUAGUUUUGUUACCAAAAAAGAAGGAGGUGAUUACCUGUUCAGAUCUUAGACCUAUCAGUUUGAGUAACUUUAUUAGCAAGGUAUUCUCCAGAUUAGUACAUGAGAGGCUUGUGAAGUUGCUACCACAGAUUAUAUCACCUCAGCAAACAGGUUUUGUCAAAGGCAGAAGUAUUGUGGAAAAUAUAUUGUUGGUUCAAGAAAUAGUACAUGAAAUCAGGAUAAGGGGAAAGCCAGCCAAUAAAGUCAUCAAACUAGAUAUGGCAAAAGGCUUAUGACAGGGUUUCGUGGCUUUUCUUAACAAAAGCGCUCAGGAAGAUGGGGUUUGGAGAGAUGUUGAUAGACAUGGUUUACAGAAUUAGCUCUAAUAAUUGGUACUCUAU